GACGAACGCUGGCGGCGUGCCUAAUACAUGCAAGUCGAACGCACUCUCGUUUAGAUUGAAGGAGCUUGCUCCUGAUUGAUAAACAUUUGAGUGAGUGGCGGACGGGUGAGUAACACGUGGGUAACCUGCCCUAAAGUGGGGGAUAACAUUUGGAAACAGAUGCUAAUACCGCAUAAAACCUAACACCGCAUGGUGUAGGGUUGAAAGAUGGUUUCGGCUAUCACUUUAGGAUGGACCCGCGGUGCAUUAGUUAGUUGGUGAGGUAAAGGCUCACCAAGACCGUGAUGCAUAGCCGACCUGAGAGGGUAAUCGGCCACACUGGGACUGAGACACGGCCCAGACUCCUACGGGAGGCAGCAGUAGGGAAUCUUCCACAAUGGACGAAAGUCUGAUGGAGCAAACGCCGCGUGAGUGAAGAAGGUUUUCGGAUCGUAAAACUCUGUUGUUGGAGAAGAAUGUAUCUGAUAGUAACUGAUCAGGUAGUGACGGUAUCCAACCAGAAAGCCACGG
rnacentral:rRNA from 1 species